GACGAACGCUGGCGGCGUGCCUAAUACAUGCAAGUAGGACGCAGUUGCGAACGGGUGAGUAACGCGUAGGUAACUGCCUAGUAGAGGGGGAUAACUAUUGGAAACGAUAGCUAAUACCGCAUACUAGUAGAUGGACCUGCGUUGUAUUAGCUAGUAGGUAGGGUAAUGGCCUAACUAGGCGACGAUACAUAGCCGACCUGGAAGGGUGAGCGGCCACACGGGGACUGAGAAACGGCCCAGACUCCUACGGGAGGCAGCAGGAGGGAAUCUUUGGCAAUGGGGGGAACCCUGACCGCGCAACGCCGCGUGAGGGAAGAAGGUGUUCGGAUCGUAAAGCUCUGUUGUUAAGGAAGCGGUACUUAACCAGAAAGGGACGGCUAACUACGUGCCAGCAGCCGCGGUAAUUC
rnacentral:rRNA from 1 species